GGGGGUGAUGCGGUUUCGACUUUGAGAGUUGCCGCGUCGGAAGCGAGCCGAGGUCCCCGGAUGCCUCGUUAAAGAGCCGGGACAACCAUAAGUGCCGAGGACAACCUCGCACUGGCUGCCUAAUUAAUUAGCAGCCCGUCUGCCCGCUGGGCGCCUGCCUCGGAGGAGCGGACGUCGCAAAGCAGGAUGCCCCCGCCGGGGCUCCGGGACCGGCGGGGAAAGACCAACGCCGGAUAGGGCGAGAGGAAACCGGCCGGCGGAGUCCUCCCGUUCCGAAGCCUUUCCGCCGGCUGCGCUCGGAGAAUCGACGUGGAAGCCUCAGAGGACCGGGGUUCGACUCCCCGCACCUCCACUU
rnacentral:tmRNA from 1 species